UGUACCUUCUAACUGCUGAGCCAUCUCUUCAAUAGCUUGAUUUUAAUAUCAUAAAUAUUGUUUCCCUAGCAAUAUCUGGUCCAGUUCAUCUAUCUGGCUCAGAGGAUUUUGAAUAAGUACUUCAGUUAAGAUUGAGAAGUAAUUCAGUUACAAUUUUUUGAGGUGGAGAGAUUAGUUUAGAUUGUCAAAUGGGGCCAGUCAUUGCACUUGCACCCUUUUCAAAGAAUGAUUCAGACCUGUCUAAGAUAGAGAACAAGAUUUGCAGAGUCCUCUGCUAGCUUUAGAGUUUGAAGCCGGAGCAAGAGGGAUACUGGCGAGUGGCCUGUUAGAGCCAAAAAAGCCACAGCAAAGUUCUCCCUCACCCCUGAUGAGCGCCUUGAGUUGAGAUUAAGUAAGAUUUAUUUCAUCCAUCUGGCCUCAAGAACUGUAAAAUACCCUUGAUCUUGAUUACCAGCUCAGUGGUAAUUUGUUCUAGUUCCAAUAGGACAUCAACGGAUCUUAUCUUAAGUCUCCUUCAAAAGUCCCUCAGUCAUUUCUUCAUCUUUGUGGUGUUCAAAUUUUUGAAUAAGUAACCCUUCCCCUUGACACAUGUCCUCUUUCAAAUAUGAUUGAUAGUUCCUACUAAUUCUGUGGAAUGUACGCAUUCUACGGUGUCACACGACGGCAGUUGCUCAGACUGUCCCUCCCAGAGCAUGCAGUGUUUAUCAUCCAUGCAUGGCUACUUAGUUUAAUGUGUUCAACUGAUUUCUGUGCAUUACUCAUUAACAGUCUUAGAGACACUAAAACAACAUGGACAUCCUGCCCCAUAUCAGUGUGUUAGGAGCUACUGGUCUGUAAUGCAUGCACUACUUUUUAGGGUUGCAUCCUUUUUAGUUUGUGUGUUUGUUUGGGUGCCUUACAACCUAGGCUUGUUCCUCUGCAAGGCACACGGAGCCACUUACCCAGUUCCUAAAGCAGUUUUCAAAGGAAUAGCUAAGAGGGAAGUUUUGGAUUGAGGACCUCUGUUACUACAGUAACAGUAAGCCUAGCCUUCCUCAGGUAUACGCAGCUUGACUCCGAGGUUAUCCCCACCACCACCACCUUUACCUGGCUCUGUGUUCUCUUUUUCCUUCGUCUUCCCAUGACUUAUUACUGGAUACUUCGGUUCCUUGGUUGACAGAAUGACUUAGAAGUAAUUAUCCAAUCGUGAUCUAUUCCUCCUUCAUAGAUGCUGACUGAUCUCUGGCUCAUCUUCUGAAACAGGGAAGGGUUUUAUUGCAACGAGGGCCCAGAAUGCCUUUUCCUGAUUGUUUAUGGGGCUAUUUGAUCGGUAGUCAUCCUCUGGCUUACAGACUUCACAAGACAAAAACUAUAUAGAUGCUGUUCUACACCUGCAGUGCCUUCUGUGUGGGAGGCACUUAAUAAAUAUUUGACAGAAGGAAGCAAAGAAAGGAAGUAGGACCUUUCCUUGGUGUGGAAUCACUUGUGAUUUCCUUGAUGUGGUAGCUUCAUAAGUGGCAAGGCCAUUAUCUACACUUCUAGACUGUGCUUUCUCUCCCGGGUUAAUAUGGGACCACAGAAAAUUAACACCACAUAUAGUCAGAGCUGACUAUUUUGAUUCAUGCUGAAGACUUGGUGCUCAGCAACUUUGACGCUGUACCUGCUGAAGGAACGGUUUGUUUUAUUAUCUUCUAAUUUCUGUAGAAUUUCCUAAAAAGCAUUCAUUGUGGGUAUACCAUCGUAUUACUUAUAGGGCAAGUGAAUAUCGCAAGUGGUAUGUGUUCAUCUCAGUGCUGUGAGUAAUGACUAAGAUCUUUUAAAAAAAGAACCCUAAUGUGUGGCAUGCACUAAUUGUCAUGGCCAUUAUUUUUAUUAUGAUGAUGACAACUUGAUAAGUUUGAAAUUGGCUCUGGCUGUGUAGCUCAGGCUGGCCUUAAACUUUCAGCCCUCCUGCCUCAGCCUCCCAAGUGCUGCUGUUACAUGGGUGUGCCACCAUGCCCAGAUGACAGUAUUCUGAUGUUAUACCUUGUCUGCUUAUUCUAUCUUAAAUUUAGAAAGAGUAGGGUUGGUCUCUUUUACUUUGUUGUACUUUUUCCCCAUACUCUAAAUGAUUCUAUGAGUAUAUAGUAUUUGCUCAAAAAAUCCUUACCAGACAACAUUUAAUGGUAGCGAAAACGCCAGGUUUGUGAGUAUUGAAGAAGCCCAUCUUAAUCCACUAAGAACUAAGGUCCUUUUUGAUAACAGGGAACUCAAGCUUAACCAGGAAAAAGAAAGGGAAGAGAAAAGAAAAAGGAAGGGAAAGGAGAAAGGAAAGGCAGGUAGGUCCCACUGUUAUAAGAGGCUGUAGAAGAGCUCACCAACAAGGGCCUAGGCAUGUGUGGGUCUCAUGGGAAUCAAGGUUACAAAGCUACCAGGGUUUUUUGUUUGUUUGUUUUUUGUUUUUUGGUUUUUUUGUUUUUGUUUUUGUUUUGUUUUGUUUUGACUCUCUGUAUAUUUUCCUGUGCCUGUGUAGAAUGCUUCUUCUUUGUUCCUCAGAGCCUCCAAAUUGACACACUAUAGUUUUAGCCUGGCUCGAAGACUAAUGAUAGCUCCUCCCACCACCAGCGAUUGUGGGAGGGAUUUUUCUUAUUGGCUUUUCUGAGUCAGGUGUCCACCAGCAUUUAAUCAGUGAUUCCACAGAAUUUGUCACUGGUUCACCCUAAUCUAGGGUUCACCCUUGUGAUAUGGAGUACUUACUAUAGAAAUUCAAUUCAUUUAAGUAGAUAAGUGUGCUUAGGUCUUUAUCUACUACUCCCCUCCCCAUUUAGAACGUAAUACUUUUUAACUUUAAUUAUUGAGAGAGAGUCUUAUGUAGCCUAGGAUUAGCUCAAACUUACUAUGUAGCAAACAAUGACUUUAAGUUCCACAUCCUUCUUCCAUCCUUUGGAGUAUAGAAGUUAUAGUCCCAUGCCACCAAUACCUUCAUUAAGAAAGUGCUUCUAAAAAAAAGAUGCUAAAAGAAACUGAGGUGGAUGGUGACCCUAUAGGAAGACCAGCAGUCUCAACUAACCUGGACCCCCGAGAUCUCUCAGACACUGAGCCACCAACCAGGCAGCAUACACCAGAUGAUAUGAGGCUCUGGACACAUAUACAGCAGAGGACUGCCUGAUCUGGGCUCAGUGAGAUAAGAUGAGCCUAGCCUGCCAGAGACUUGAGACCCCAGGGAGUGGGGAGGUCUGGUGGGGUGGGGGGUCUCUUGGAGACAUGGAGGGGAGGAGGCAGAGAAGGUAUGGGAUGAGGAAUAGUCAGAGGGCAGACUAGGAGGGGGAUAAUGACUGGACUGUAAAAAUAAGCUUAGAGAAUAAGAAAGAAAGGAAG
rnacentral:lncRNA from 1 species